AGUGAACGCUGGCGGUAGGCCUAACACAUGCAAGUCGAACGGCAGCACAGUAAGAGCUUGCUCUUACGGGUGGCGAGUGGCGGACGGGUGAGGAAUACAUCGGAAUCUACUUUUUCGUGGGGGAUAACGUAGGGAAACUUACGCUAAUACCGCAUACGACCUACGGGUGAAAGCAGGGGAUCUUCGGACCUUGCGCGAUUGAAUGAGCCGAUGUCGGAUUAGCUAGUUGGCGGGGUAAAGGCCCACCAAGGCGACGAUCCGUAGCUGGUCUGAGAGGAUGAUCAGCCACACUGGAACUGAGACACGGUCCAGACUCCUACGGGGGGCAGCGGUGGGGAAUUUUGGACAAGGGGCGCAAGCCUGAUCCAGCCAUACCGCGGGGGUGAAGAAGGCCUUCGGGUUGUAAAGCCCUUUUGUUGGGAAAAAAAAGCAGCAGGUUAAUACCCCGCUGUUCUGACGGUACCAAAAGAAUAAGCACCGGCUAACUUCGU
rnacentral:rRNA from 1 species